rnacentral:snRNA from 1 species
AGCGACUGGGUCAGUGGCAAUCAUCGAAUUUGCUCCUCGCCUUUUACUAGAAGCAACCGUGUUUCUGGCCCAUCAGGUCGCGUUCAAUUUGUUCCUAAACCCUUUCUUCGUGGGCCA